AUUGAACGCUGGCGGCAUGCCUUACACAUGCAAGUCGAACGGCAGCACGGGUGCUUGCACCUGGUGGCGAGUGGCGAACGGGUGAGUAAUACAUCGGAACGUACCUUAUCGUGGGGGAUAACGCAGCGAAAGCUGUGCUAAUACCGCAUACGCCCUGAGGGGGAAAGCGGGGGAUCGCAAGACCUCGCGCGAUUAGAGCGGCCGAUGCCUGAUUAGCUAGUUGGUGGGGUGAAAGCCCACCAAGGCGACGAUCAGUAGCUGGUCUGAGAGGACGAUCAGCCACACUGGGACUGAGACACGGCCCAGACUCCUACGGGAGGCAGCAGUGGGGAAUUUUGGACAAUGGGGGCAACCCUGAUCCAGCAAUGCCGCGUGAGUGAAGAAGGCCUUCGGGUUGUAAAGCUCUUUUGCCAGGGAAGAAACACCGGCUCUAACACAGUCCGGGAAUGACGGUACCUGAAGAAUAAGCACCGGCUAACUACGUGCCAGCCGCCGCAGUAA
rnacentral:rRNA from 1 species